UACGUAGGGUGCGAGCGUUGUCCGGAAUUAUUGGGCGUAAAGGGCUCGUAGGCGGUUUGUCGCGUCGGGAGUGAAAAUCCAGGGCUUAACUCUGGACUGGCUUCCGAUACGGGGCAGACUAGAGGUAUGCAGGGGGAGAACGGAAUUCCUGGUGUAGCGGUGAAAUGCGCAGAUAUCAGGAGGAACACCGGUGGCGAAGGCGGUCUCUGGGCA
rnacentral:rRNA from 1 species